rnacentral:lncRNA from 1 species
AACCAAGAGUAGAGACGCUGAUGAAUCAAGAACAACCUUCGCAGCUCAUUUCCCUUCAAUCUUGAAUUUUUUUUUUCCUGGCCCUAAGAGUCUCCUGUUGAAAUGCAGGUGCCCAGGAGGGUACAGUGUCUCUGCCUCCUGAGUCUCCCUACUACUCAUAGGACAAGAUUCAGGCGAUGCAGUGGAAAAUGGCUUCCUUCCUGCUGGGAUGUGAUCCCCCAGGGCCAGAGAAGUUUAAAAAUUAAUGGAGGCUUUACCCCACCUGUGCUGUGAUCUCAGGCAACCCCCACCUCCCCAGGGCAACUGUGCACGCCUUACUGGCUGUUUCCAUGCUUUAUGGUAGCUGACGUUAUGUCUUCCUGCUGGCAUGAUUUGUACUCUGAUGGUUAUCCAACUUGGCAUAACCAACCUCUAAACGACCCGUCCUUCAUCACAGCCGCCAAUUUGCCCAGAGCCAUUUGUCCAGGCUGCAGCCUCUUGGCUUCUUGUGACAUGACUCCCGUGAGCCGACUGGGGAGCCAAAAGACAUAAUAUGUCACAUCCACAGUUUGAGCAAAGGUCACCUCUUCUCUGUGGCAACAGAAUGUCUGCCCUAGAGAGACAAAUUGAUGACCACUUCAUCAUUCUCGAUGGUGAAAGCCAGUCAACUUUCUUUUCCUGUAGUGUUUGGCCAUAGAACAAAGCCAGAGCCUGGAAGGAAAAGCCAGAAGAUCUCAGACACCCAAGGGAGACUUGGCAUUGGCAGUGGCUGAGUGGCACGUGGCUCCUGAGGAGUUAAGAUCACCUGCACACCCUAGCCUGGAAUCCCGAGAUACAGGCUGCUUUCAUGCUUUUGAAGGGCACUGAGCCUACUGAGCAUCCCUCUCAGAGGCUUCCUGGGCUUUUGUAUGGUAUUUGCACCUGGAGUUUGACUGUGAAUGUAUCUAUUGCUGUGCAACAAAUUACCCCAAAUAAUUACCCAAAUUAUUGUUUGGUAGCCUAAAACAAUAAACACUCUUAUGGUCAGGAACCCAGGCACAGCUUAGUUAAGGACUUCACCUCACAAAGCUGUAAUCAAAAUAUCAACUGGAGCUAUGACCUCAUCUUAAGUCUCAUCUGCUUCCACACUCAUGUGAUUGUUGGCAGGAUUUCUUUCCUCAUGGGCCACUGGACUGAAGUCCUUAGCUCUUCACUGGCUGUUUGCUGGUUCCUGGCCUCAUGGGCCUCUUCACAGGGCAGCCAGCUUCUAUGAGAGAGAGCAAGUGACUAGGCAGCAGAGGGGCACAGAGUGACAUCCCUUCACUCUUGCUGCAUCCUGUGCCAGCCAGUGGGUCCAGAUCACACUCAAGGGGAAGGAAUUACACCAAGCAUGAGUGCCAGGCAGCAAGGGUCACUGAGAGCCAUCCAAGAAAGUACCCACCACAAUAGGAGUUUGGGGAAAUUCUGUUCAUGUUUUCCUCAUGUGUUGUGUUUCUGAACCCAAUUUCUUGUGCUUCUAUCUUCACAUUGCAAGCAUACAGUUGCCUAACACCAGUGGUUCUUAACCUGAAAUCCAUGAGCAAUGGCGGAAGUUUCUAGAAAUCUCCUGAAAUUGUGGGUCAUAUGUUGUAUGUAUGUAGAUGUUGCUGGGAAGUGGAUCUGUAGUUUUCAUUAGAUUCCUAAGUGGAAUCAAGAAUCCAAAAAAACAGCCACUCCCCCUAAUCUUUGUGAGACAUCUGUGUUCUCCAAAAGAUGUCCGAUGCUGUUGAAGGGCCAGUAGAGGACAUGGCUAGCCACAUAGCAGGUCAGAGCUGGCAGUACCUGGCUGGCCUGCUCAGGGGUCAUCUUAUUGAACAGGUAGAGAAACAGAGGCCUGUGGAAGGGAGAGGGGCAGGUAAAGGGACUAGGCUAGGGUCACAGGGGUCCUGACAGGUUUGGAGGCCAGAGCCUGUUCCAUUUUUGCUAGGCUGCUCUUAUUGCUACUGAUCCCACUAAGGACUUUAUGCAUUUAGAUGGCCAUCCAUGUGUUUAGAUGGCUGUCCAACAAACAUGGAUUUUUGCCAGCAAACUGGUAUUAAUGUUGCUUCAACACAGUAUCCUGACAUAUAAAAUCCAUUCUCAACUCUUUGUUUACACUUUGUUUUUCCUCUGAUUUUUUUUUUUUUUGACAAAUCUUGCUUUAUUUCUACUUAUAAUAGCCAUUCACUCUCCAUAGGACAGGAAAUGAAAAGUAGCCACUUGGAAACUCACACAGUUUACAGUAGAGAAAAAGAGGGGUUAGAGAUAGGGUUAGAGAUAACUGCUGGGGUCCUUGAUGAAGUCACUUUGGCAAAGGCAGCCCCACUAAUCGAACCAAGUCAGGGAAUGUAUUGCCCCAGUCAAGAGUUUGUCUGGGGAGUUCCCGUCCUGUUUCAGCAGAAAAGAAAUCUGCCUAGGAUCCAUGAGGGUGCAGGUUUGAUCCCUGGCCUCACUCAGUGGGUUAAGGAUCCAGCAUUGCUGUGAGCUGUGGUGUAGGUCAAGACUCGGCUUGGAUCAUAUCGCUGUGGCUGUGACGUAGGCCAGCAGCUGCACGUCUGAUUCGACCCCCAGCCUGGGAACUUCCAUAUGUGGCAGGUUCGGCCCUAAAAAACAAAACAAAAAACAAAAUGAAAGAGUUUGUCUGGCUUUGACUGCGCCCUCCACACACUUAAGGUACAUGGCUGUGGGUGAGUCACUUAACCUCCCUGGGCCUCAAUUUCCCUGUCUGCAAAGUGAGGAUAACAGUAGGGUCCCAACCCCUUGGCCCAGGGCACUGGGAAGCAUUAGAAUAGGCCCAGAGUAAGCCCUAGAAAAACAGGGAUUGGCAAUGUUGUUAACAGAGCAGGACCCUACAGGGCCUUCCCAGAACAGUCCUGCACAAAUGUCCUCUGCCUGCUUUUUGUCUGAGGAAAACCUUAGUCAAAGAUUAAAUUCAUGGAGUUUCCGUUGUGGCUCAGUGGGUUAAGAACCCAGUUAGUACCCAUGAGGAUGUGGUUUCAUCCCUGGCCUCACUCAGUGGGUUAAAGGAGCUGGCAUUGCCUCGAGCUGUGGUGUAGGUCACAGACGCAGCUCGGAUCCCAUGUUCCUGUGGCUGUGGUGUAGGCCGGCAGCUGUAGCUGUAAACUUCCAUGUGCUGCAUGUGUGGC